GAUGAAGAACGCAGCGAAAUGCGAUAAGUAGUGUGAAUUGCAGAAUUCAGUGAAUCAUCGAAUCUUUGAACGCACAUUGCGCCCCUUGGUACUCCAUGGGGCAUGCCUGUUCGCGCGUCAUUUACACCCUCAAGCUCAGCUUGGUGUUGGGCGUCUGUCCCGCUUCGUGCGCGGACUCGCCUCAAAUGCAUUGGCAGCGGUCUUGCCAGCUUCUCGCGCAGCACAUUGCGCUUCUAGAGGCUUUGGCGGAUCGGCGUCCAUCAAGUACACCCACAGUUUGACCUCGGAUCAGGUAGGGAUACCCGCUGAACUUAAGCAUAUCAAUAAGCGGAGGA
rnacentral:misc_RNA from 1 species